rnacentral:tRNA from 1 species
GGCAAGAUGGCCGAGUGGUUAAGGCGUGUGACUUAAGAUGACAGAGAUGUCUCGUGGGUUCGAACCCCACUCUUGCCA